UCUCAAAACAUGCUGUAGUUCGCAGCCUCUCUUUGAAGUGAUUGGUAUGCAAUGUUUGAUGCAAAUCGUGAGACAGAUGUUUUUCUGGUACUUGUUUGUAGAUGACCAGCCAGUUUGUUUUUGUUUUGUAAACUUCAGUGCUUCUUUUUAAGCAUGGAAAAAUAUUUUGUAGUUGUAUACAGACAUAUCAAAUAGCUCUGAUCCAACCUUUUGAGUUUUCAAAAAAUGGCAAAAGUCGAUAAGACACACAUUAUUCACAAGACAUGAAAGACAUGCAUGAUAAUACAUUAGUCAGAGACUUGGGAGCUUUCAAACUUUCAGCCUCUCCUAUACCGCCAAUAUAUGUGUGAAUUUAAAUCGACAUUGCAGACGACGGAGUGAUCUGGUAUCUUUCAACAGUCCCGCUCUCUCAUCUUCACAUUUACUCGGGAACCCGCGAGUGGCCAUUUUGUACGAACGUACACGUCAUGGUGGGCAGUACAGCAUGGUUGCCUAACCCCCUUCGCUUCGCAAGAAAAGGCAAGCGGAAGCGACAUGGGCGUGAAAGGGUGCGCCUGCGUUUGUGCACCGCGUCCUUUCUUUGCCUUUCCUUGCGAAUACAAAAUCAGAUCACCCUUUUAACACCUUUCCUCCUCCCCUUCUGUCCCUCCUUUCUCUCUCUCCCAUUUCUGUCGCUCUCCACUCUGACCUGACCGUGCAUUCUGUCGCGUCCCCCUUCUCUGUGCCGUCCCACUGGCUGACGCCUCUUCAUUUCUCCAUCCUUCCAUCUCCUGUUUCGGUCUCUCUGUCCCCCUUCUUCUUUUGUUUUUAUUCUCUCCCACCAUCCGCGCACCCCCCACCACCACCAACACCUUCCCCCUGGGACGUUGUGAUUCGGCCUUGGCGGGGGCCUCAGAACGGCCGAUUGAAGCGGAGCAGCUCGCUGGGCAAGCUGCGGGCUUCCAUCCGCCGCGGCAGUGCAAAGCUGGUGCAGAGGCUCAGGGGCAGCGACUUUGCCCACGACGAUGAUCUCGCCGCACGAAUGAAGCGCGCCAGUUCCAUGUGCGCCCUUAGUACAGACCCUCAGGCCAAGAGCAACCUGAUAAACAUGCGCCCGCGUACUGCAAGCUCAGACCAGCUUCGCUCCGCCAGCAAGGGAGAUCUCUAGCAACCUGCGAAGCACCAGUCGUCCCCUGUGCAGCCUUUGCUUUUUUUAACGACUGGGGGGGACAUUUUCUUCGGCAACGCACACCACUCGGAAGAGGAGUUUGCAAAGUCGGGCACCCUCGGAACGCAUCUAGCCCAGAGAACGGACAACGGGCCCAACUAAGAGGCAGUGUGACAGUGUACUUACGUUGUCAACGGAUGAACGCUGUUUCCGAGUGCUAGCUCACAGUUGCUUAUGUGUAAUCCACGCGCACUACAGAGAGGCUUCUCAGUGGCAUGGCAUAGCUUUGCACUGGGUGGGCACAUCGUAUUAUUCGUCUCGGUGAAAAGAUGAAAAAAAAAGAGAGAGGUGGCAGCCCUUUCUAAUCGGCAACCCAAAGAGAAACCUGUGGGGGACAUGUUUGGCAGCUUGGUGGCAAAGUGUGAUGGUUAGCGCAUGUUUGCCUAUUGUAUUUUAUUGCUUUUUCUCUGAAGUUUUGAAGACAGACCAUUGUGAGAUGUUGUAGUGGCCAAGUCUGCUGUCACAAGAGUAGUGUACUAAAUUUUGCUUUGAAGGCUGGUGCAUUCAGAUCAUUCUAGGAUGUUUCUGUGCUUUGCCUGUCACUGGUGCUUUGUUCACAAAAUAUUGAGACUUCAUAGAUGCGCUCACAGUAGGUUCGUCCUUUACUACUGCAACCAUGUGUAUCUGCACUAGAUGUUUGCUUAGCUCUCACAUAUGUUUCCGUGGAUAAUAUAUCGGGCUGGGUUUGAAAAAAAAAAAAGCGUUAAGACACACGCAGUCCAUUCAUAUUUGUAUUUUACUGAUGUAAUGAAAGGAGCCAAGCAUCUGCUAUGAAAAAAAUUGUUUUACACUGAUGAGGUGGGCUGACUUAAAGAUCAUGACAUAUUGUACUUACUUUUAUGGUAAUUUUUAGUUAAAUCAGAGUAAAGGUCAUUGGAGGGCAACUUUAUAUUACAGAAGCAUUGACUUGCUGCAAUCUUCAAUCUGAACUACUAAUCAGGAUGUUAAUUGUCCUUUUUGGGAGCUCUUGACUGUGCAUUAAGUAAUCAUGGAAACAUCAUAGUAGCUACGCUUUUUUGCUGAAUUAUGCUUCUUGCACAGUGUAGAAUACUAGGUGCCAGUGCUGAAUAGUACUUGUACUAUGGUUACUUCAUUCUCCACACUUUUUAGCAAAGUCAGUAUCAGCCUUUGAAGAGAGUUUAAAACUGUUACAGUGUAAAGGCGUGAGCACUGAAGGCACAUUAAAUGAACUGGUGUAGUGCUGCAUGUGCCUGAGGUGCCUCACAUUUUAGAAAUUGUCACCUGAAGCAUGCUCUUCUUUGCUGCUAAUGGAUUUUGCAAAAUUUGUCGAUGGAGUGUAUGGCACUGUAGGUGCUUUCACAUUUUAGGAAUUGCCAUUUGAAGUGUGCUCUUUACCACUUGAUAAUGAAUUUGAUGAAAUAUUUCGAAGUGCAUGUUCCUACAGGACAGUAGAUUGUUUAGUGGAUGAACGAGCAGGACACAAUGUUGUGAUCACACAAGAGCAUUGACUGUACAGAACAUGUGCAUACACCACUGACAGAGACUGAAGCUGUGUGUGUUAUUGACUGUGUGAUGACAUAUAGAUAAAGGAAGCUGUGACGAGCUUUUGGUCACUUGUAAGUGAUGACUGCUUGAUGUUUCACUCACAGAGGUUCUCCCUUUCAGUUUCUUGUAAUAAAGGAAAUGAAAUGCCAGUUGAGGUCCGCUUAAAGUUUGUGCUCCUUGUUAAAAAAGACAGCUGGUGAAAAUGACAUGUAUGCCACACGGCAUGUUGCAUUCUCAUCUUGUUGGUCUUGUGAAAAUUAAGGGCAGUGCUAGCUCUACGUGCUGCACGUGCUUCGUUGUGGAAGCAUGCUGCAUGACAUAGGAGCCCCCUAGUGUGUCACUGACCUGACAAUAUGCACAAGAAACUUAAAAGUUUGUUUAGCAAUUCUCUCAACAAAUUUCAAAAGUUGCUUGUAAUAGUCGAGCAGUGUGGUCUACAAAAUGUAGCAAAUUGCAACUUAUAUUACGACAUUCCAUCCAGCCAUCCGGUGCUUGUGAUAUUGAAAUUUUUAUUCCUGCAGGUUAUCCGUGGUACUGCUGCACCAGUGUUAUCACGGCAAACACGAUUUUGCAUUUCCUCACACUGAAGCUUCGAAACAGGUGAAUUGUAGCCUCACUUGACCAAAGACGCAUGUUGACGCAAAUGACAUGAGGUAUGCUAUUUAGGCCAUGGCAUUUUUAAAUGAAAAGGUAUAAACUACACUUCCAGGUGAAGUCACAGCAACUUGUUGUAUUGCAGAAACAGUAGCAGGAUCUUGUGCAUUACACCUGUGAGAUAUGCCUGUAAGAGAAUUGAGGAAUCGAAAGUGCUUACAAACCUUGUGGGCAGCCGCUGUUUAUGUAUUAAGCUUGUAUGCCACAUUGCAUGCAUGCUUCGUUACAACAUACACUGGUCCUACCAUGUGGCUGGCCAGCCUUCGCGUCUGUAGAAAUAUGUCUUCACGAGAGAAGUGCUUGCAGUGUUCUCUUAACAUUCCGUUUAAGAAAUCGUAGAGCUCUGUGAUUGGAGCAAUGCUGUUUAUCAAUGUGGGCUUUGCUGCAUAACAAGUCUGCAAAGAGGGGGCAGAUGACACCUUUUUGCUUGGUUCCUAUCGGUAAUGCUGCUGACGGGCAUGGUGCGAUGCUUGUCGUGUCCCUACCACGGGGACUUUGUGAGAAGAGCAGGACAGUUUGUUUUUUCGUCUUUUUUGUUAUUAUUUAUUUUGUUAUAAUUUCUUUUUUUCCUUGUUUUAACGAAUUGACGAUCGCUGUGUGCUCUUGUUUGGGCAUGUAUGUGCAUUUUUUUUGCACCAUGCGUUGUAUGCACUGCGUGCUAUCUUGCGUGCAGCGUCACUUGUCGGACAAGAGAGGCUGUACAGAGUUUACAUGUACAUGUGCGCGCCUGCGUGAGCCAUUUUUUUUUCCUUGUGUGUGUGUCCGUGCGAGCAUUUGUAUGAGAAAUAAAAAGUGUAUUACACACAA